CUCCUGGAAACGGGUGGUAAUGCCGGAUGCUCCGGUUGGAUGCAUGUCCUUCCGGGAAAGAUUUCAUCGGUAUGGGAUGGGGUCGCGUCCUAUCAGGUAGUCGGCGGGGUAACGGCCCACCGAGCCUACGACGGGUAGCCGGCCUGAGAGGGCGACCGGCCACAUUGGGACUGAGAUACGGCCCAGACUCCUACGGGAGGCAGCAGUGGGGAAUAUUGCACAAUGGGCGCAAGCCUGAUGCAGCGACGCCGCGUGCGGGAUGACGGCCUUCGGGUUGUAAACCGCUUUUGAUCGGGAGCAAGCCUUCGGGUGAGUGUACCUUUCGAAUAAGCACCGGCUAACUACGUGCCAGCAGCCGCGGUAAUACGUAGGGUGCAAGCGUUAUCCGGAAUUAUUGGGCGUAAAGGGCUCGUAGGCGGUUCGUCGCGUCCGGUGUGAAAGUCCAUCGCUUAACGGUGGAUCCGCGCCGGGUACGGGCGGGCUUGAGUGCGGUAGGGGAGACUGGAAUUCCCGGUGUAACGGUGGAAUGUGUAGAUAUCGGGAAGAACAC
rnacentral:rRNA from 1 species